rnacentral:rRNA from 1 species
ACCCGCUGAAUUUAAGCAUAUAACUAAGCGGAGGAAAAGAAACUAACAAGGAUUCCCCUAGUAAGGGCGACUGAAGCGGGAUCAGCCCAGAUUGUAAACUGACCUUAAUCAAGGUUGGGUUGUAGUCUAAAGAGGCGACGCCAGGCAAGGUCCGGGGAGAAGUCCCUUGGAACAGGGCAUCGGAGAGGGUGACAAUCCCGUCUGUGCCUCGGACCGCGUCGUACGGUGCGUCUUCGACGAGUCGGUUUGCUUGGGAUUGCAGACCAAACGGGUGGUAAAUUCCAUCUAAGGCUAAAUACGGGUGGGAGACCGAUAGCGAACAAGUACCGUGAGGGAAAGAUGCAAAGAACUUUGAAAAGAGAGUUAAAAAGGGCCUGAAACUGGUAAGAGGGAACCGAACGGCAGAAGUGGUGAUGGGCGCGUAUUUGCCGCCGGGCUCUUGGCCGGCGUACUUGUGCGCGUCCGUAGGUCAGCGUGGGUUGGGGCGUGGGAGUCGUUCAUGGGAAGGUCUUCGGGCCAAUCUCGUGUUCAGGCCGCGCCUGAGACCUUCGGUGACGAAAUUCUUCCGUUCACCCCGUCUUGAAACACGGACCAAGGAGUCUAAAAUACGAGCGAGUGCGCCGGUGGCAACCCGGGGCGCGUAAUGAAAGUGAGACCGACGGUGGGAGGGCUUUACGUCCGCACCAUCAACCGACCACGAUCCUUCGGGUGAAAGGUUUGAGUGUAGCUUGUAUUUUGGGACCCGAAAGAUGGUGAACUAUGCCUGAAUAGGGCGAAGCCAGGGGAAACUCUGGUGGAGGCUCGUAGCGAUUCUGACGUGCAAAUCGAUCGUCAAAUUUGGGUAUAGGGGCGAAAGACUAAUCGAACCAUCUAGUAGCUGGUUCCCUCCGAAAUUUCCCUCAGGAUAGCAGCAAUCGAAGAGUUUUAUCAGGUAAAGCGAAUGAUUAGAGGCCUCAGGGGUGGAACGUCCUUGACCUAUUCUCAAACUUUAAAUGGGUAAGAGCCAGGGGUUGCUUAAGUGAACCCCUCGGUCGAAUCGCGGUUGCUAGUGGGCCACCCGGGGUAAGCUCGGUUGGCGAUGCGGGAUGAUCCGAACGUCGAGUUAAAGUGCCUCACUGCCCGCUCACCUAGAUCCCACAAAAGGUGUUGGUUCAUUUAGACAGCAGGACGGUGGCCAUGGAAGUCGGAACCCGCUAAGGAGUGUGUAACAACUCACCUGCCGAAUGGAUUAGCCCUGAAAAUGGAUGGCGCUGAAGCGAGCGACUUAUACUCGACCAUCACGGCAAGUGCGACGCCGUGAUGAGUAGGAGGGCGUGGGGCUCGUGGCGCAUCCCGCGGCGUGAGCCGGGGUGAAACGGGCUCUAGUGCAGAUCUUGGUGGUAGUAGC